ensembl:miRNA
AUCAUUCAGAAAUGGUAUACAGGAAAAUGACCUAUGAAUUGACAGACACUACAGCUGAGUUUGUCUGUCAUUUCUUUAGGCCAAUAUUCUGUAUGACUGUGCUACUUCAA